rnacentral:rRNA from 1 species
GGGGUUUUUGGGGUUCGCGCCGGGGUUUAUAUGGUGUUUUGUCUCGCUCAGGACGAACGCUGGCGGCAUGCCUAAUACAUGCAAGUCGAGCGAACAGAUGAAGUGCUUGCACUUCUGACGUUAGCGGCGAACGGGUGAGUAACACGUAAGGAAUCUACCUAUAAGCGGGGGAUAACAUUCGGAAACGGGUGCUAAUACCGCAUAAUAUCUUCUUCCGCAUGGAAGAAGAUUGAAAGACGGCUCUGCUGUCACUUAUAGAUGACCUUGCGGUGCAUUAGUUAGUUGGUGGGGUAACGGCCUACCAAGACGAUGAUGCAUAGCCGACCUGAGAGGGUGAUCGGCCACAUUGGGACUGAGACACGGCCCAAACUCCUACGGGAGGCAGCAGUAGGGAAUCUUCCGCAAUGGGCGAAAGCCUGACGGAGCAAUGCCGCGUGAGUGAAGAAGGCCUUCGGGUCGUAAAACUCUGUUAUAAGAGAAGAACAAAUUGUAGAGUAACUGCUACAGUCUUGACGGUAUCUUAUCAGAAAGCCACGGCUAACUACGUGCCAGCAGCCGCGGUAAUACGUAGGUGGCAAGCGUUGUCCGGAUUUAUUGGGCGUAAAGGGAGCGCAGGUGGUUUCUUAAGUCUGAUGUGAAAGCCCACGGCUUAACCGUGGAGGGUCAUUGGAAACUGGGAAACUUGAGUACAGAAGAGGAAUGUGGAACUCCAUGUGUAGCGGUGGAAUGCGUAGAUAUAUGGAAGAACACCAGUGGCGAAGGCGACAUUCUGGUCUGUUACUGACACUGAGCUGAAGAACGCC